rnacentral:rRNA from 1 species
CCAGACUCCUACGGGAGGCAGCAGUGAGGAAUAUUGGUCAAUGGGCGCGAGCCUGAACCAGCCAAGUCGCGUGAGGGAUGACGGUCCUACGGAUUGUAAACCUCUUUUGCCGGGGAGCAAGCGUGCGUUCGUGAACGCACGUCGAGAGUACCCGGAGAAAAAGCAUCGGCUAACUCCGUGCCAGCAGCCGCGGUAAUACGGAGGAUGCGAGCGUUAUCCGGAUUUAUUGGGUUUAAAGGGAGCGUAGAUGGGUUGUUAAGUCAGUUGUGAAAGUUUGCGGCUCAACCGUAAAAUUGCAAUUGAUACUGGCAGUCUUGAGUACAGUUGAGGUAGGCGGAAUUCGUGGUGUAGCGGUGAAAUGCUUAGAUAUCACGAAGAACUCCGAUUGCGAAGGCAGCUUACUAAACUGCCACUGACAUUGAUGCUCGAAAGUGUGGGUAUCAAACAGGAUUAGAUACCCCAGUA